CAAAGGACUGCCUGGCAGGUGUCAAAGGCAGUGGUGGCCACAGAGGCGGUGGAGAGAUGGCCUUCAGCGGUUGCCAGGCUCCCUAUCUGAGCCCAGCCGUCCCCUUUUCUGGGACUAUCCAAGGGGGUCUCCAGGACGGAUUUCAGAUCACUGUCAAUGGGGCCGUUCUCAGCUGCAGUGGAACCAGGUUUGCUGUGGACUUUCAGACGGGCUUCAGUGGAAACGACAUUGCCUUCCACUUCAACCCUCGGUUUGAAGACGGAGGGUAUGUGGUGUGCAACACGAGGCAGAAAGGAACAUGGGGGCCCGAGGAGAGGAAGAUGCACAUGCCCUUCCAGAAGGGGAUGCCCUUUGACCUCUGCUUCCUGGUGCAGAGCUCAGAUUUCAAGGUGCACCUCCUGCUUCUUUUACUCUGAAAAUAAGAACUAGAGGAGUCAUCACGUUGCU
rnacentral:misc_RNA from 1 species